rnacentral:rRNA from 1 species
CAGCAGCCACGGUAAUACGAAGGGUGCAAGCGUUACUCGGAAUUACUGGGCGUAAAGCGUGCGUAGGUGGUGGUUUAAGUCCGUUGUGAAAGCCCUGGGCUCAACCUGGGAAUUGCAGUGGAUACUGGGUCACUAGAGUGUGGUAGAGGAUAGUGGAAUUUCUGGUGUAGCAGUGAAAUGCGUAGAGAUCGGAAGGAACAUCUGUGGCGAAGGCGACUAUCUGGGCCAACACUGACACUGAGGCACGAAAGCGUGGGGAGCAAACAGGAUUAGAGACCCGCGUAGUCCCUGUCUCUUAUAC